AACGCACCUUGCGCUCCUUGGUAUUCCGAGGAGCAUGCCUGUUCGAGUGUCAUGAAACUCUCAAACCGUCAUCUUUAUUGAUGGCGGGCUUGGACUUGGACGUUGCUGGGCUUACGCUCGGCUCGUCUUAAAUGCAUUAGCUGACUCUCCCGACUUCAGUUUUCGGCGUGAUAAUCACAUCUACGUCGAUGCCGCGAGGCGCUGGACCGGGGAUCAAACGGCUUCUAACCGUCCGCGAGGACAAUCUUCAUCUCAUUUGGCCUCGAAUCAGGUAGGACUACCCGCUGAACUUAA
rnacentral:misc_RNA from 1 species